CAGGCAACCAUUGGAGAUAACCGUGGGGGAACCGACGUAAGUCAAUAUAUUUAUUAAAAAGAAAAGAAAAAAAAAAAAAAAAGAAAGAAAAAGAUGAAAUGAAACGGAGGGAGGGAAAAUUUCAAAACCAGAACUGGGUCUGCCACACUGCGUCUCGUGUGGCUGUCUCCGUCUGGGCAUUGUUGGGUCUGGGACGCUGUAUCUGGUGUGGCUGUCUCCGUGGGUGUCGUCCAUCUCUGUGGGUGUCUCUGAAUAAGUUGUGGAGGAUUGCCAAACAUCCGUGAUUCGAUUCACACUCCAAGACUUCUCGGGACAUUCAUGGCAAUCAUUUGAGAAACAGAGAGCGAGAGAAACAGAGAGAAAUAUCCUUCCGUUUUCUCUCUUAUUAUUUUUCCAUUUCAGUAAAUCCAAUCCAUUUCAGGGACCGGUCGUAGCCUCGGAGGAUUGCCAAACAUCCGUGAUUCGAUUCACACUCCAAGACUUCUCGGGACAUUCAUGGCAAUCAUUUGAGAAACAGAGAGCGAGAGAAACAGAGAGAAAUAUCCUUCCGUUUUCUCUCUUAUUAUUUUUCCAUUUCAGUAAAUCCAAUCCAUUUCAGGGACCGGUCGUAGCCUCGGAGGAUUGCCAAACAUCCGUGAUUCGAUUCACACUCCAAGACUUCUCGGGACAUUCAUGGCAAGAAGCCCGAAUGGAGAAGGAGCUGAAGACAGAGAUGGAGGACUUGAGAACCAAGGUGUUUUCAGAAUCGAAUGCAUUGCUGCUCAAAUAGGUAGUAACCUGUUCACACUGGCAAAAUCUACGGGAAUGUCCAUCAGAAUUGCGAGAAGCUAUUGCCAGUAUAAUAUUUGCAGCUCCCAGAUGUUCAGAUGUGCCAGAUUUUUUGCAGAUAAAAAAUUUGUCUACUGCAAAAUAUGGGAAGGAAUUUGUCAUGGCUGUGUCAGAACUUCGUCCUGACUCUAGCGUCAACCGUACAGUAACUGAAAAGCUUUCAAUUAGUGCUCCAGCAUCUGAGGUAAAACUCAAGGUAUUGAAGGACAUUGCACAAGAGUACAAAGUGCAAUGGGAUUCUACAAGCACAGAAGCAGAAUUUGGUAAAAAGCAUGAAGAUUUGCUGAUCUAAUGGCUGGACGGGCUGGCCGGAUUGUGAUGGUACCAAUUUGCCUGUGCGGUCAGCGGGGUGGAAGGACAAUGGCUAAAGGUGGCACCUGGGAUAGGAGGCAAAAUAACUUACGGUAUCUGUAUAUAUUUUAAUCAACUCAACUAUGCAUUGCAAGAAAGACGAUUGCUGCGGAAUGAAUGACUCAUCCAAGGUUAGUAAAUUAAUCACUUUCUUAA